rnacentral:rRNA from 1 species
UACGCAGGGGGCAAGCGUUGUCCGGAAUCAUUGGGCGUAAAGCGCGUGUAGGCGGCCCGGUAAGUCCGCUGUGAAAGUCGGGGGCUCAACCCUCGAAUGCCGGUGGAUACUGUCGGGCUAGAGUACGGAAGAGGCGAGUGGAAUUCCUGGUGUAGCGGUGAAAUGCGCAGAUAUCAGGAGGAACACCAAUAGCGAAGGCAGCUCGCUGGGACGUGACUGACACUAAGGCGCGAAAGCGUGGGGAGCGAACAGG